GGACUACCAGGGUAUCUAAUCCUGUUUGCUCCCCACGCUCUCGCGCCUCAGUGUCAGUAUCAAUCCAGGUAGUCGCCUUCGCCACUGGUGUUCCUUCCGAUAUCUACGCAUUUCACCGCUACACCGGAAAUUCCACUACCCUCUAUCGUACUCCAGUCACACAGUCCGAGAUGACCUUCCUAGGUUAAGCCCAGGGAUUUCACAUCUCGCUUAUGCAACCACCUACGCGCCCUUUACGCCCAGUAAUUCCGAUUAACGCUCGCACCCUCUGUAUUACCGCGGCUGCUGGCAC
rnacentral:rRNA from 1 species